CAAUAGCGUAUAUUAAAGUUGUUGCAGUUAAAAAGCUCGUAGUUGGAUUUCGGGACGGCACGGUCGGUCCGCCGCAAGGUGUGUUACUGGCCGGGCUGUUCUUCUUCGCAAAGACUGUGUGUGCUCUUAACUGAGUGUGCGCAGGAGUUGCGACGUUUACUUUGAAAAAAUUAGAGUGUUCAAAGCAGGCCGUAGCUUGAAUACAUAAGCAUGGAAUAAUGGAAUAGGACUUUGGUUCUAUUUUGUUGGUUUCUGGAACCGAAGUAAUGAUUAAGAGGGACAGUUGGGGGCAUUCGUAUUUCGUUGUCAGAGGUGAAAUUCUUGGAUUUACGAAAGACGAACUACUGCGAAAGCAUUUGCCAAGAAUGUUUUCAUUAA
rnacentral:rRNA from 1 species